GCCUGGCUGGCUUGGUGAGUAAAGCAUAAGACUCCUGAUCUCAGGGUUGUGAGUUCAAUCCCCACGUUGGGCA
rnacentral:tRNA from 1 species